AGUCGAGCGAAGCGAUUUAAGUGAAGUUUUCGGAUGGAUCUUAAAUUGACUGAGCGGCGGACGGGUGAGUAACGCGUGGAUAACCUGCCUCACACAGGGGGAUAACAGUUAGAAAUGACUGCUAAUACCGCAUAAGCGCACGGUACCGCAUGGUACAGUGUGAAAAACUCCGGUGGUGUGAGAUGGAUCCGCGUCUGAUUAGGUAGUUGGUGAGGUAACGGCCCACCAAGCCGACGAUCAGUAGCCGACCUGAGAGGGUGACCGGCCACAUUGGGACUGAGACACGGCCCAAACUCCUACGGGAGGCAGCAGUGGGGAAUAUUGCACAAUGGGCGAAAGCCUGAUGCAGCAACGCCGCGUGAGUGAAGAAGUAUCUCGGUAUGUAAAGCUCUAUCAGCAGGGAAGAAAAUGACGGUACCUGACUAAGAAGCCCCGGCUAACUACGUGCCAGCAGCCGCGGUAAUACGUAGGGGGCAAGCGUUAUCCGGAUUUACUGGGUGUAAAGGGAGCGCAGACGGCACUGCAAGUCUGAAGUGAAAGCCCGGGGCUCAACCCCGGGACUGCUUUGGAAACUGUAGAGCUAGAGUGCUGGAGAGGCAAGCGGAAUUCCUAGUGUAGCGGUGAAAUGCGUAGAUAUUAGGAAGAACACCAGUGGCGAAGGCGGCUUGCUGGACAGUAACUGACGUUCAGGCUCGAAAGCGUGGGGAGCAAACAGGAUUAGAUACCCUGGUAGUCCACGCCGUANACGAUGAAUACUAGGUNUUGGUGGGCAAAGCCCAUCGGUGCCG
rnacentral:rRNA from 1 species